rnacentral:rRNA from 1 species
GUGGGGAAUAUUGGGCAAUGGAGGAAACUCUUACCCAGCAAUGCCGCGUGAGUGAUGAAGGUCUUAUGGAUUGUAAAGCUCUUUGAUUGGGGACGAAUAAAUGACGGUACCCAAAGAACAAGCCCCGGCUAACUAUGUGCCAGCAGCCGCGGUAAUACAUAGGGGGCGAGCGUUGUCCGGAAUGACUGGGCGUAAAGGGUGUGUAGGCGGUUUAUCAAGUUAGAAGUGUAAUACCUAGGGCUUAACUCAGGUGCUGCUUCUAAAACUGAUAGACUUGAGUGUGGGAGAGGAUGAUGGAAUUCCUAGUGUAGCGGUGGAAUGCAUAGAUAUUAGGAGGAACACCAGAGGCGAAGGCGAUCGUCUGGACCAUAACUGACGCUGAGGCACGAAAGCGUGGGGAGCAAACAGGAUUAGAAACCCUUGUAGUCC